rnacentral:rRNA from 1 species
CAGUAGCCGCGGUAAUACGUAGGGUGCGAGCGUUAAUCGGAAUUACUGGGCGUAAAGCGUGCGCAGGCGGUUUUGUAAGACAGGCGUGAAAUCCCCGGGCUCAACCUGGGAAUGGCGCUUGUGACUGCAAAGCUAGAGUGCGGCAGAGGGGGAUGGAAUUCCGCGUGUAGCAGUGAAAUGCGUAGAUAUGCGGAGGAACGCCGAUGGCGAAGGCAAUCCCCUGGGCCUACACUGACGCUCAUGCACGAAAGCGUGGGGAGCAAACAGGAUUAGAUACCCCAGUAGUCCCUGUCUCUUAUAC